CCAGGACAGAAGACACUUGCUCCUUAACCACAAAGCAGGUUAUUCUCUCUUCUCUGUUUAUACAAGACAUUCCUUUGCCACAAUGGGAUCCAGAGGCAAGAGAAGCAGGAAAGGAGCAGGAAGGGAGACUGAGGGAGAGGAACUCCUGGCAGAGGACGUGGUGUCAGACUGAAAGACAAAGAAGCUGUGAAGAAAUGUUUGUGCUGGCGGAUGGAAUUUGGAUCCUUCUGGAUUCUUCCCGUUGGUUGACUGAGCUUUCUGAACUUUACUGAUUGCUGUGAAGUGGAAUAAUGGCCCUCAAAGAUGUCCAGUGACCUAGUCUGCAGAACGUGUGACUGCAUUGUAUUACAUGGCAAAGGGGAAUUAAGGUUGCGGAUGGAGUUAAGGAGUGGUCAAGAAUGCUUAUGGAUUUUGAUAUCCUUCAAAUAAUAACAAAUAAGAUCCCAAUAUUUCCAGACUUUAUCUGGGACUGGUUUCUAUUGGUGAAAGUUCUGCAAAAGAGCAAAGUGAACUUGGAGCAGAUGGUGCAUCCGUCCGUUGCAGAAAUCCACUUGCAGCCUGAGGAAAACUUUAUACAGAAGGUGGACAUAAUGGCUUUCUGCUCAGUUUGUUGUAAAUUCUAAAUGGGUGAUUGAAGGCUGUAAUGAUCACUGCUGUUGAAUGCCUUUGGGCUUCAACAUCUGGCAAAUGCCUAUACUAGCUGACAGCUGUUAGCCUUGGUAUGGGCGUGUGCUGCCCAGAGCUUUUGUUUCAAGUAGGCUGGAGAUGAUGCUCCAAGCAAGUAUCACCAAUUCAUGUAUCAAGACAACACCCCCCCCACCGCCAAAAAAAACAACACCUUUAUU